rnacentral:rRNA from 1 species
UACGGAGGAUGCGAGCGUUAUCCGGAUUUAUCGGGUUUAAAGGGUGCGUAGGCGGACUGUCAAGUCAGCGGUAAAAUUGAGAGGCUCAACCUCUUCCCGCCGUUGAAACUGGUGGUCUUGAGUGGAUGAGAAGUACGCGGAAUGCGUGGUGUAGCGGUGAAAUGCAUAGAUAUCACGCAGAACUCCGAUUGCGAAGGCUGCGUACCGGCAUCCAACUGACGCUGAGGCACGAAAGCGUGGGGAUCAAACAGG